GAUGAACGCUGGCGGCGUGCCUAAUACAUGCAAGUCGAGCGAACGGACGAGAAGCUUGCUUUUUUGAUGUUAGCGGCGGACGGGUGAGUAACACGUGGAUAACCUACUUAUAAGACUGGGAUAACUUCGGGAAACCGGAGCUAAUACCGGAUAAUAUUUUGAACCGCAUGGUUCAAAAGUGAAAGACGGUCUUGCUGUCACUUAUAGAUGGAUCCGCGCUGCAUUAGCUAGUUGGUAAGGUAACGGCUUACCAAGGCAACGAUGCAUAGCCGACCUGAGAGGGUGAUCGGCCACACUGGAACUGAGACACGGUCCAGACUCCUACGGGAGGCAGCAGUAGGGAAUCUUCCGCAAUGGGCGAAAGCCUGACGGAGCAACGCCGCGUGAGUGAUGAAGGUCUUCGGAUCGUAAAACUCUGUUAUUAGGGAAGAACAUAUGUGUAAGUAACUGUGCACAUCUUGACGGUACCUAAUCAGAAAGCCACGGCUAACUACGUG
rnacentral:rRNA from 1 species